GUUAUAGGAUCAAGUGACUAAGUGCAUGCGGCGGAUGCCUUGGCGAUCACAGGCGAAGAAAGACGCGGCAGCCUGCGAAAAGCUGCGGGGAGCUGGCAAACGAGCUUUGAUCCGCAGAUAUCUGAAUGGGGGAACCCACACCGCAAGGUGUAUCCGUAACUGAAUACAUAGGUUACGGAGGCGAACGAGGAGAACUGAAACAUCUAAGUAUCCUCAGGAAAAGAAAUCAACCGAGAUUCCGGCAGUAGCGGCGAGCGAACCCGGAGGAGCCCAGCUUUUGAUAGUACGAACUUUAGCCGAAAGGACCUGGAAAGGCCUGCUAUAGUGGGUGAUAGCCCCGUAGGCGAAAGAGUUGGUACGGUACUAAGGAAGCGAGAAGUAGAGCGGGACACGUGGAAUCCUGUUCGAAGACGGGGGGACCAUCCUCCAAGGCUAAAUACUCGUGAUCGACCGAUAGUGAACCAGUACCGUGAGGGAAAGGCGAAAAGAACCCCGGGAGGGGAGUGAAAUAGAACCUGAAACCGCAUGCAUACAAACAGUAGGAGCCUUUACGGAGGUGACUGCGUACCUUUUGCAUAAUGGGUCAGCGACUUACAUUCUGUGGCGAGCUUAACCGAAUAGGGGAGGCGCAGCGAAAGCGAGUUCGAAAUGAGCGUUCAGUCGCAGGGUGUAGACCCGAAACCAGAUGAGCUAUCCAUGGCCAGGUUGAAGGUGUGGUAACACACACUGGAGGACCGAACCGACUAGUGUUGCAAAAUUAGCGGAUGAGCUGUGGAUAGGGGUGAAAGGCCAAACAAAUCUGGAGAUAGCUGGUUCUCCCCGAAAACUAUUGAGGUAGUGCCUCGUGUGUCGCUCCAGGGGGUAGAGCACUGUUUUGGCUAGGGGGACAUGGAGUCUUACCAAACCAAGGCAAACUCCGAAUACCUGGAAGCGUAAGCACGGGAGACAGAGCACCGGGUGCUAACGUCCGGACUCAAAAGGGAAACAACCCAGACCGCCGGCUAAGGUCCCAAAUAACAGCUAAGUGGAAAACGAAGUGGAAAGGCCGUGACAACCAGGAAGUUGGCUUAGAAGCAGCCAUCCUUCAAAGAAAGCGUAAUAGCUCACUGGUCGAGUCCUUCUGCGCGGAAGAUGUAACGGGGCUAAGCUGUUAACCGAAGCCGCGGAUGCGCUGGUUAUCCAGUGCGUGGUAGGGGAGCGUUCUGUAAGUCUGCGAAGGCGGUUCGAGAGGACUGCUGGAGAUAUCAGAAGUGCGAAUGCUGACAUGAGUAACGUUAAAGCAGGUGAAAAGCCUGCUCGCCGUAAGCCCAAGGAUUCCUGCUCUACGUUCAUCGGAGCAGGGUGAGUCGGCUCCUAAGGUCAGGCCGAAAGGCGUAGCCGAUGGGAAUCAGGUUAAUAUUCCUGAACCUGCGUCAGAUGCGAUGGGGGGACGGAGCAUGGAAGAUCAUCCGGGUGUUGGAAGUCCCGGUUGUUUAGCGUAGGAGGUCUGCAGGCAAAUCCGCAGACGCAUCUCCAAGGCAAAGACACGUGCCGCCACGGCGGCGAAGUGAUCGGAAGUGCUUCCAAGAAAAGCCUCUAAGCACCAGUCUGACGCGGACCGUACCGCAAACCGACACUGGUGGGCGAGCUGAAUAUGCUCAGGCGCUUGAGAGAACUCGGGAGAAGGAACUCGGCAAAUUGACACCGUAACUUCGGAAGAAGGUGUGCCGUAGUACCGUGAGAGGAGAGACACCUUGAGCGGGAAACGGUCUCAGAGAAUAGGUGGCUGCGACUGUUUAUUAAAAACACAGCACUCUGCAAAGUCGAAAGACGACGUAUAGGGUGUGAUGCCUGCCCGGUGCUGGAAGAUUAAUUGAUGGGGUGAGAGCCCUUGAUCGAAGUCCCAGUAAACGGCGGCCGUAACUAUAACGGUCCUAAGGUAGCGAAAUUCCUUGUCGGGUAAGUUCCGACCUGCACGAAUGGCAUAACGAUGGCCACACUGUCUCCUCCCGAGACUCAGUGAAGUUGAAAUGUUUGUGAUGAUGCAAUCUACCCGCGGCUAGACGGAAAGACCCCAUGAACCUUUACUGCAGCUUUGCAUUGAACUGUGAACCGAUUUGUGUAGGAUAGGUGGGAGGCAGAGAAGAGGCCACGCCAGUGGUCUUGGAGCCGACCUUGAAAUACCACCCUGAUUUGUUUGCGGUUCUAACCACGGACAGUGAUCCUGUCUUGGGACCGUGCAUGGUAGGCAGUUUGACUGGGGCGGUCUCCUCCUAAAGGGUAACGGAGGAGUACGAAGGUACGCUAGGUACGGUCGGAAAUCGUGCUGAUAGUGCAAUGGCAAAAGCGUGCUUGACUGCGAGAGCAACAACUCGAGCAGAUGCGAAAGCAGGUCAUAGUGAUCCGGUGGCUCUGAAUGGAAGGGCCAUCGCUCAACGGAUAAAAGGUACUCUGGGGAUAACAGGCUGAUACCGCCCAAGAGUUCAUAUCGACGGCGGUGUUUGGCACCUCGAUGUCGGCUCAUCUCAUCCUGGGGCUGUAGUCGGUCCCAAGGGUAUGGCUGUUCGCCAUUUAAAGAGGUACGUGAGCUGGGUUUAAAACGUCGUGAGACAGUUUGGUCCCUAUCUGCCGUGGGCGUUGGAAGAUUGACGGGGGCUGCUCCUAGUACGAGAGGACCGGAGUGGACGCACCUCUGGUGUACCGGUUGUCACGCCAGUGGCAUUGCCGGGUAGCUAAGUGCGGAAGAGAUAACCGCUGAAAGCAUCUAAGCGGGAAACUUGCCUGAAGAUGAGUCUUCCCGGAGGUUGAACCUCCCUCAAGAGUCGUCCGAGACCAGGACGUCGAUAGGUCAGGUGUGUAAGCGCUGUAAGGCGUUAAGCUAACUGAUACUAAUUGCUCGUGAGGCUUGAUCCUAUAACC
rnacentral:rRNA from 1 species